ACGCUCGACACCUACGGGAGGCGGCAGUAGGGAAUCUUCCACAAUGGACGCAAGUCUGAUGGAGCAACGCCGCGUGAGUGAAGAAGGUCUUCGGAUCGUAAAACUCUGUUGUUAGAGAAGAACACGAGUGAGAGUAACUGUUCAUUCGAUGACGGUAUCUAACCAGCAAGUCACGGCUAACUACGUGCUAGCAGCCGCGGUAAUCUGAGCGGGCUGGCAAGGC
rnacentral:rRNA from 1 species